UACGUAGGUGGCAAGCGUUGUCCGGAUUAUUGGGCGUAAAGAGCUCGUAGGCGGCUUGUCGCGUCGACUGUGAAAUCCCGCGGCUCAACCGCGGGUCUGCAGUCGAUACGGGCAGGCUAGAGUUCGGUAGGGGAGACUGGAAUUCCUGGUGUAGCGGUGAAAUGCGCAGAUAUCAGGAGGAACACCGGUGGCGAAGGCGGGUCUCUGGGCAGUAACUGACGCUGAGGAGCGAAAGCGUGGGGAGCGAACAGG
rnacentral:rRNA from 1 species